AAGGUUACCAACUGUUUUGGUUUGUCUGGGACUGAGAGGGUUCCUAGAAUAUAAGACUUUUGGUAC
rnacentral:miRNA from 1 species